AUUGAACGCUGGCGGCAUGCCUUACACAUGCAAGUCGAACGGCAGCACGGGAGCUUGCUCCUGGUGGCGAGUGGCGAACGGGUGAGUAAUACAUCGGAACGUACCCAGGAGUGGGGGAUAGCGUAGCGAAAGUUACGCUAAUACCGCAUAUUCUGUGAGCAGGAAAGCGGGGGAUCGCAAGACCUCGCGCUCUUGGAGCGGCCGAUGUCGGAUUAGCUAGUUGGUGAGGUAAAAGCUCACCAAGGCGACGAUCCGUAGCAGGUCUGAGAGGAUGAUCUGCCACACUGGGACUGAGACACGGCCCAGACUCCUACGGGAGGCAGCAGUGGGGAAUUUUGGACAAUGGGGGCAACCCUGAUCCAGCCAUGCCGCGUGAGUGAAGAAGGCCUUCGGGUUGUAAAGCUCUUUCGGCGGGGAAGAAAUGGCAACGGCUAAUAUCCGUUGUUGAUGACGGUACCCGCAUAAGAAGCACCGGCUAACUACGUGCCAGCCGCCGCUGUAACAC
rnacentral:rRNA from 1 species